CCCGCAGUGUAGCUCCACCUCGGGACUCCAGUACGCACUGCAACGCCUACCCUGUGGGAAAAUACUCCUUUUUCUGUCCGGAUGAAGCCAAACGGAGCUUAGGAAGUAUAAAUCUGGGUCAGAGACGUCGGGGGAAGAGCUGGGAGCAGACAGAAGUCAGUGACAUGCUGAGUCACCGGUCAGCUGGUGUCAGCCUGCUUCGGCCUCAAGGCUGUCGGCGCGUGAAAUGACAGGCUGAGCACGGCCGGACGAAAUGACAAGACUGAUGAUGACACAGACACGGGCGACCACAAGAUCAGAGCUGGCUUUCUUUUGCAGAUUUUGGAAUCAAAAGUGUGUUUUCCUUACCUACGACCUGUAUGAUCUCAG